GUAAUUUGUAGAGGAUGCUUUUGGUGAGGUGCCGCCCGAGUUCCCUGGAACGGGACGCCACAGAGGGUGAGAGCCCCGUCUGGCUGGCCACCGAGCCUCUGUAAAGCUCCUUCGACGAGUCGAGUAGUUUGGGAAUGCUGCUCAAAAUGGGAGGUAUAUGUCUUCUAAAGCUAAAUAUUGGCCAGAGACCGAUAGCGCACAAGUAGAGUGAUCGAAAGAUGAAAAGCACCUUGAAAAGAGGGUUAAACAGUACGUGAAAUUGUUGAAAGGGAAGCGCUUGUGACCAGACUUGGGCGCGGCGGAUCAUCCGGGGUUCUCUCCGGUGCACUUCGCCGCGUUCAGGCCAGCAUCAGUUCGUCGCGGGGGAAAAAGGCUUCGGGAACGUGGCUCCUCCGGGAGUGUUAUAGCCCGUUGCAUAAUACCCUGCGGUGGACUGAGGACCGCGCAUCUGCAAGGAUGCUGGCGUAAUGGUCACCAGCGACCCGUCUUGAAA
rnacentral:rRNA from 1 species